CUAGCGACAGGCUUAACACAUGCAAGUCGAGGGGCAGCGGGGCCGCCGGCGACCGGCGCACGGGUGAGUAACACGUAUGCAACCUGCCCUGGUGGGAUAAACCGGAGAAAUCCGGUCUAAGGAUGGGCAUGCGGCGCAUUAGCUAGUCGGCGGGGUAACGGCCCACCGAGGCGACGAUGCGUAGGGGUUCUGAGAGGAAGGUCCCCACACUGGUACUGAGACACGGACCAGACUCCUACGGGAGGCAGCAGUGAGGAAUAUUGGUCAAUGGGCGCGAGCCUGAACCAGCCAAGUCGCGUGAGGGAAGACGGUCCUAUGGAUUGUAAACCUCUUUUGCCGGGGAGCAAGCUGGGUCACGUGUCCAGCUGAGAGUACCGGAAAAAAGCAUCGGCUAACUCCGUGCCAGCAGCCGCGGUAAUACGGAGGAUGCGAGCGUUAUCCGGAUUUAUUGGGUUUAAAGGGUGCGUAGGCGGACUGUCAAGUCAGCGGUAAAAUUGAGAGGCUCAACCUCUUCCCGCCGUUGAAACUGGUGGUCUUGAGUGGAUGAGAAGUACGCGGAAUGCGUGGUGUAGCGGUGAAAUGCAUAGAUAUCACGCAGAACUCCGAUUGCGAAGGCAGCGUACCGGCAUCCAACUGACGCUGAGGCACGAAAGCGUGGGGAUCAAACAGGAUUAGAUACCCUGGUAGUCCACGCAGUAAACGAUGAAUGCUAGGUGUCCGCGAGUGAGGCCUGGGUGCCACAGCGAAAGCGUUAAGCAUUCCACCUGGGGAGUACGCCGGCAACGGUGAAACUCAAAGGAAUUGACGGGGGCCGCACAAGCGGAGGAACAUGUGGUUUAAUUCGAUGAUACGCGAGGAACCUUACCCGGGCUCAAACGUCGGAGGACGGAGGUGAUUUUUUUCCACGGGACUUCCGACGAGGUGCUGCAUGGUUGUCGUCAGCUCGUGCCGUGAGGUGUCGGCUUAAGUGCCAUAACGAGCGCAACCCCCAUCGCCAGUUGCUAACAGGUCAAGCUGAGGACUCUGGCGAGACUGCCGGCGCAAGCUGUGAGGAAGGCGGGGAUGACGUCAAAUCAGCACGGCCCUUACGUCCGGGGCGACACACUGUUACAAUGGCGGGGACAGCGGGAAGCCACCUGGCGACAGGGAGCGGAACCCGAAACCCCGUCCCAGUYCGAUUGGAGUCUGCAACCCGACUCCAUGAAGCUGGAUUCGCUAGUAAUCGCGCAUCAGCCACGGCGCGGUGAAUACGUUCCCGGGCCUUGUACACACCGCCCGUCAAGCCAUGGAAGCCGGGGUGCCUGAAGUGCGUGACCGUAAGGAGCGCCCUAGGGUAAAACCGGUGACUGGGGCUAAGUCGUAACAAGGUAGCCGUACCGGAAGGUGCGGCUGGAACACCUUUAGCUCAGCUGGCUAGAGCACCUGCUUUGCAAGCAGGGGUCAACGGUUCGAAUCCGUUAUUCYCACAAAGAGAGAAGGGCACAUGAAGGAUGCCUUGGCUCUCAGGCGAAGAAGGACGUGACAAGCUGCGAAAAGCCGCGCGAAACAUCUAAGUACCCGGAGAAAAAAAACAACAGUGAUUGCGCGAGUAGUGGCGAGCGAAAAGCGCGAGCCCAAACCGGAGGUGUGGCAACGCACCGGGGUUGUAGGACCAGGGGAAAGUGCUGGAAAGCACGGGUGAAAGACCCGUACCCGAAACCUGUAGUGCGGAACACGAGAAAUUCUGCAUGAAUCCGCGGGGACCAUCCCGAAGGCUAAAUACUACCGAGAGACCGAUAGCGAACCAGUACCGUGAGGAAAGGUGAAAAAAACCCCGAACAGGGGAGUGAAACAGACCCUGAAAUCAUGUGCCUACAAGCGGUCGRACCGGUGACGGCGUGCUUUGCAUAAUGAUCCUACGAGUUGCCGUCGGUGGCAGGUUAAGGCGCGCAGCCGAAGCGAAUCAGAAUAUGGCGCACAGUCACCGGGGGCAGACGCGAAACCAAGUGAUCUACCCUUGGGCAGGUUGAAGUGGGGUAACACCUCAUGGAGGACCGAACCGGUAAGCGUUGAAAGCUUUCGGAUGACCUGAGGGUAGAGUGAAAGGCCAAUCAAACUUGGAGAUAGCUCGUACUCCCGAAAUGCAUUUAGUGCAGCCCGGGAGCAGUGUGGGGGGGGGGGGGCGGGUGCUAAGGUCCGCGUCGAGAGAGGCCAAGGCCCCAAAUAUGGGCUAAGUUGAAAUAACGAGGUGGAAUCGCACAGACAGCUAGGAUGUUGGCUUGGAAGCAGCCAUUCAUUUAAAGAGUGCGUAACAGCUCACUAGUCGAGUGAUUCCGCAUGGAUAAUAAUCGGGCAUAAGUCCAUUGCCGAAGCCGUGGGAUUCGGAGGAUCGGUAGGGGAGCAUUCCGGCGGCCGCAGAGGCCGGGGCGCGAGCCCUGCUGGAGGAACCGGAAAAGUAACGAUAAGGAGGGCGAGAAACCCCCCCGCCGCAAGACCAAGGGUUCCUGAUCAACGCUAAUCGGAUCAGGGGAGUGACGUGGAGACGGAGAAGUGACACCCCCGCGCUGACGGAAUAGCGCGUUGAAGGCCGUAGGUAUACGAGAGGCAGGCAAAUCCACCUCUUGUGCUGAAAGCCGACAGUACUCCGAGCCCCCGGGCGAGGAGACAGCGGAGGUAACCAUGCCUGUACCGCAAACCGACACAGGUGGUCGGGUAGAACAUACCGAGGCGCUCGAGUGAUUCACGGUUAAGAACUAGGCAAAUUGACCCCGUAACUUCGGGAGGGGUCCCCGGGGGGGGCGCAGAGAAUAGGUCCAGGCAACUGUUUAACAAAAACACAGGGCUGUGCAAAGUUUAAAGACGACGUAUACAGCCUGACACCUGCCGGUGCCGGAAGGUUAAGAGGAGGCGUCAUCGCAAGAGAAGCGCUGAAUUGAAGCCCGGUAAACGGCGGCCGUAACUAUAACGGUCCUAAGGUAGCGAAAUUCCUUGUCGGGUAAGUUCCGACCUGCACGAAUGGUGUAAUGAUCCGGACACUGUCUCAACCGUGAGCUCGGUGAAAUUGUAGUAUCGGUGAAGAUGCCGAUUACCCGCAACGGGACGGAAAGACCCCGUGAACCUUUACUGCAGCUUAGCACUGUGGCCGGGUGCGCGAUGUGUAGGAUAGUCAGGAGGCACGCCAGUCGUCGGGAGCCGCUGUUGAAAUACUGACCUUCGCGCAUUUGGCCUCUAACUCAGGACACUGCUUGGCGGGUAGUUUAACUGGGGCGGU
rnacentral:rRNA from 1 species